GGCACUAUAGCCAAGUGGUUACGGCGGAAGAUUUGAAUUGGUUGUCUGAUCGGGUCAUCCGAUUAGUCAUAAUCUGAUCAUAUCUUCUCCUCUUUGAGGGCGCAGGUUCGAACCCUGCUGGUGUCG
rfam:Cylindrobasidium torrendii FP15055 ss-10 unplaced genomic scaffold CYLTOscaffold_53, whole genome shotgun sequence.